rnacentral:rRNA from 1 species
GAUGAACGCUGGCGGCGUGCCUAAUACAUGCAAGUCGAGCGAACGGACGAGAAGCUUGCUUCUCUGAUGUUAGCGGCGGACGGGUGAGUAACACGUGGAUAACCUACCUAUAAGACUGGGAUAACUUCGGGAAACCGUAGCUAAUACCGGAUAGUAUUUUGAACCGCAUGGUUCAAAAGUGAAAGACGGUCUUGCUGUCACUUAUAGAUGGAUCCGCGCUGCAUUAGCUAGUUGGUAAGGUAACGGCUUACCAAGGCAACGAUGGAUAGCCGACCUGAGAGAGUGAUCGGCCAAACUGGAACUGAGACACGGUCCAGACUCCUACGGGAGGCAGCAGUAGGGAAUCUUCCGCAAUGGGCGAAAGCCUGACGGAGCAACGCAGCGUGAGUGAUGAAGGUCUUCGGAUCGUAAAACUCUGUUAUUAGGGAAGAACAUAUGUGUAAGUAACUGUGCACAUCUUGACGGUACCUAAUCAGAAAGCCACGGCUAAAUACGUG